UGCCCUGCAACUCCUAUCCCUACCUCCUCGCGGUACCGGCCGGAAACUAUGAGCAACCUUAGGGAAGUUCGGGCAACCAACCCCGGUGGAAACUUUGGUCGUAGGCUGACAGGGAAGG
rfam:Aedes albopictus isolate Foshan contig113563, whole genome shotgun sequence.